UCAACAAGAUUGUCUGAUUGACAAGAGAAAAGGUCAAACAGGAACUUCAAUUGUGAACAUUGCAGAGAACACACUCAUCAGAAGAUGACCCUCAGAAAUAGGACAAUUGUAAGUAAUCAAGGACAGAGGCAGAUUUGAAGGAGAUGCAUGAAAUGAGGAAUAUUUCAAAGAUUGCCUGAGCAUAACCACUGCUACUGGAUAAACAUAUGGCAAUAUAAAAGAGCAGGGUCAAUGGAGGUAUCAUACAGUAUAGGCCAUGAGAGACCCUGAAGAAGAAAGAAUGGAAGAGAAACAAAAAUAAAACCAUUUUG